rnacentral:rRNA from 1 species
AACGUAGGGGACAAGCGUUAUCCGGAUUUACUGGGCGUAAAGCGCCCGUAGGCGGCCUGACAAGUUGGACGUGAAAGCUCCUGGCUUAACUGGGAGAGGCCGUUCAAAACUGUCAAGCUAGAGUCUGGAAGAGGAGAGCGGAAUUCCCGGUGUAGUGGUGGAAUGCGUAGAGAUCGGGAGGAACACCAGUGGCGAAGGCGGCAUCCUGGACCAACACUGACGCUGAGGAGCGAAAGCCAGGGGAGCAAACGGG